CGAGGGCAACAAAUCAUUUUCUGUCUCAGUUAUAGGGCUUUUUAAUUGUAUUUGUGGCCUUGAAAGAUCAACUGAGUAAAUUGGCUUCCAUUAUGCAUUCGAUGCUGGACAAGAUGUUUUGCGAAUGGGGAUAGUAGCAGAGCUUGCCCUGGUGGGGCGUAAGUGAGGGGAUUUGCAAGAAUGUUACGCAGUUCUCUUGCUGUUUAUAUGCCCUCACUCAUUGUAAAAUAACCAAAAACUGAAGUUCUUUCUACAUGUAUUGUUAAGCUGCUAGAUGGGAACUGAGAGCUGAAAGCUGGGAAAUGGCAGCUGGGAGAUAGGAGUUGGGAGUUGGGAGCUGGAAGUUGGAGCUGGGAGCUGGCAGCCCGGUUAGUUUCGCAUGCAAAUGGCAUAUCAAAAAGUGCAAAAGGAUUGCGUAAAAUCAACGCGACAUGCGGCAGGACAAAUAAAGUGCAUAAAUUUAUCAAAAAUGACGGAAAGGAAGUAAAAGAGAGAGAGAUAGAUGAAGAGGGAGAGAGAGAGAAAGACUUUGGUCAAUAUGUGGCACACGACAUGGACGUGGCGACGUGGACAAUCGAUGCUGAUGAUGAUUAGAUUGCUGAUGCUGCAGGCAAAAGUUGAAGCUUAAUACGGGGUUGGCUCAAGUGGACAUAUUAUAACGGUUAUAUGCAAGCGACAGGCGCGGAGCGGAGCGGACUCGGCAUUAGCAUACGAUAUGUGGGCAGUCGGGCGAUUGGCCAUGUUGUUGGCUUAUGCACAUCUCUGCUGCCUGCCAUGCAGCGUUUCAAACGAUCAAAGUCUCAAAUAUGCAGACACGCUGGAAUUUUGUUGUUGUGGAGAUACAUCGAGUUGUUGUAACUGCUGUUGUUGUUGUUGCUGUUGCUGCAGCUGCAUUUGUUGCUGCUGUUGUCUAGUUAACCCCAUAUAAAGGCCAUAUUACUAUAUUUUGUUCACUCCGUGUAUGUGUCUGUGUGUGUGUCUAUGUGUCUGUGCUUGAGUGGGUGUCAAUUACAGAAACGCUUUUGAACGUGUAAACAACAAUAGGAGUUGGGUGGCGGAACAAGGAACUCAAAGAGUAUACAGAAAGAAUACUUUAUAGUCGAAUCUACUGUUGAGGACUUAAAGCUUAUGCAUAUAAUUGAAUAUUGAGA